CAGAAACAUCAUGAACAUGAUCACUUUAAGAAAGGAAAUGUCUCAGUCAAAGAGCAGUGAAACUGAAGCACGUCUGGCCCCGUAGCACCAGAGCCAGCAGUGUGAAGUGCAGUGAGAACUUGACAACCUCAAGGUAACCCAGACUUAUUAUUAGGACUUUGGUUCUCAGUGCAGCUUCUAUCAGUUGAGGCUGCUACCAUAUCUGUAAUGGAUCACUUCAAGGACCACACACUGAUAAAAAAAGAUCUGAUUAGGGUUGUAUAAUAAGUCGCGGUUGUUCUAUUAUUACUCUGAUUAUUAAUAUUAUUGUUCAGAUCUAUAUAUCUUUAGCAUUAAUGGUCCGUUUGUUGAUUUCCCCUCCUAUGUUGUAGUAUAGACUAUCGGGGGAAUUCCCAUGGUGCACUGAGCUCCUCUCUUCCUCUCUCUCUCUCUUUCUGCACUCAUUCAUGUCCCAUUAAUGCAUGUUACUAACUUUACUUCUUCCCCGGAGUUCUUGUGCUUUCUCGUCUCGCAGGUUCUCAUGGAUCCUGGUGGAGCCUCCUGCCAUGGUCCUGCCUGACUGCCAUCGCUAAUAUCACUGAUAUUAUUGUUAUUAUUAUUAUUAUUGAUAUUAUUAUUACUACAGUUACUAUUAUUACUAUUGUCGCUGCUCAUUGUCCCCCAUCGUUGCUGUUGUCGUUGUCAUCGUCUUCUUCAUGUUCAUCAUCAUCAGUCACUACUAUUAGUGUAGUUGUUGCUACUGUUGUUGCUGUGCACCUGUCUGUCUGUCUGUCUGUCUGUCUGUCUGUCUGUCUCUCUCUCUCUCUCUCUCUCUCUCUCUCUCUCUCUCUCUCACCCCAACUGGUCGAGACAGAUGACCACCCACCUAGAGCCGAAAGUCUGUCCUAGGUUUCUGCCUUUUAACAGGCAGUUUUUCCUUGCCCCCGUCGCCAAGUGCUUGCUCAUGGUGGAACUGUUGGGUCUCUGUAAAUGUUAUAAGGAGUUCGGUCUAGACCUGCUCUAUUUGAAAAGUGUCCUGAGAUAACUUCUGUUAUGAAUUGGCACUAUACAAAUAAAACUGAAUUGAAUUUAAUUAUAUAUUGUUUUUCUCCAGAAAACCGACUCAGACUGGAGUUAUAAUGAUUAAGAUUUAAGUUUUAAAUGAGAUGCACCAAUAAGGAUUAAGUUAAACUAAGAUUGUGUUCAUUUAUAUAAAACAAAAAGCGUAUUUAAUUUGAAACUGAAUUAAUAUAUGGUAAAUACAAGUAAUAUAGAGCAAAACUUUAAAUAAUUAAGGACAAUUAAGGAAGCUUUUGUGCAACAGAAUGUUAGGAUAAACAAGGUAUAUUUCCAUUAGUGUACAAUGAAACCUGAAAAUAAGAAUUAUUAUGUUUUUGUUACCCUUAAAUGAGCCGUUUUAAUCUACAGAGGGAGCAGGUCCUCUUCUACCGAGUCUGCCAUGUUGAAUCCAACCAAUCACUGGCUCUAGAUUGGGCCUUUCACAUUUUCUGUGAGUUUUGUAUUCAUAUGGUUGCAGUCUGAAACUUCACUGUCACUGAGUCCAACAUACUGGUCCUUUAACUGAGUUUACUUUGUUCAGUCCAACCCACCACUAAAGCCAAAAUCUAUAUUGACCUUCAAGGCGAACUCCAGCAGUUUAGUGUUGCAGUUCCAUAAAGUUGUGGGACUCAUAUUAGCAGCAGAACCUAAACAUCCCAAAAUAUGGUCCUUAUGGAUCAAGCUUCAAAAACAAUGGAUCCUACAUUUCCCACAAUACACCUCAUUAGCGUCUUUCUCCAGUUAUAACACAGGCUUUCUGUCAAGAGUUUUAGGUCUAAGAUCCAAUCCAAGAUUACCUUGAUGACGUCUCCAGUGUUAAUUCCUCAUACAAGAGCCACAGAAAACUAUUUUUAAAGACUGAGUGGAAGCCCUAAGGAUGAGAAAACUGAAUUUCAUAUGUAAAAUUGUUGCAGCUUUAAGUUAAUAAUAAUUGUUUGUAAAAGUUGGAGACACUUUGAAUACCUAUACUGAUUCAUAUUGAUGAAUGCUGAUCGGUAUCACAUCCUCAUUGCAUUUCCUCCUUGUGGAAAAAUGACUGAUUACAACUUCAAUGAGUGAUUAAUGAUUACAACUGUGUGUGACUGAGAAAUAAAGAUUUUAUAUGCA